rnacentral:rRNA from 1 species
UACGUAGGGUGCAAGCGUUUGUCCGGAAUUAUUGGGCGUAAAGAGCUCGUAGGCGGUCUGUCACGUCGGCUGUGAAAUCCCGAGGCUCAACCUCGGGUCUGCAGUCGAUACGGGCAAACUAGAGUAUUGCAGGGGAGACUGGAAUUCCUGGUGUAGCGGUGAAAUGCGCAGAUAUCAGGAGGAACACCGGUGGCGAAGGCGGGUCUCUGGGCAAUAACUGACGCUGAGGAGCGAAAAGCGUGGGGAGCGAACAGG